UACGAAGGGUGCAAGCGUUAAUCGGAAUUACUGGGCGUAAAGGGUGCGUAGGCGGUUGUUUAAGUCUGUCGUGAAAUCCCCGGGCUCAACCUGGGAAUGGCGAUGGAAACUGGGCAGCUAGAGUGUGUCAGAGGAUGGUGGAAUUCCCGGUGUAGCGGUGAAAUGCGUAGAGAUCCGGAAGAACACCGGUGGCGAAGGCGGCCCGCUGGGCAGAGACUGACGCUCAUGCACGAAAGCGUGGGGAGCAAACAGG
rnacentral:rRNA from 1 species